rnacentral:tRNA from 1 species
GGUCCGGUAGUUCAGUUGGUUAGAAUGCCUGCCUGUCACGCAGGAGGUCGCGGGUUCGAGUCCCGUCCGGAGCG